GACGAACGCUGGCGGCGUGCCUAACACAUGCAAGUCGAGCGGAGCCAAUUAGCAGAUCCCUUCGGGGUGACGUUGAGGAAGCUUAGCGGCGGACGGGUGAGUAACGCGUGAGUAACCUGCCCAUAAGAGAGGGAUAACACAGAGAAAUUUGUGCUAAUACCUCAUAUUGAGUUCUAAUCGCAUGAUUUAAACUUGAAAGAUUUAUCGCUUAUGGAUGGACUCGCGUCUGAUUAGCUAGUUGGUAGGGUAAAGGCCUACCAAGGCGACGAUCAGUAGCCGAACUGAGAGGUUGAUCGGCCACAUUGGGACUGAGACACGGCCCAG
rnacentral:rRNA from 1 species